AGCCAGCUUCUCUGAGUCUCAAUUUCCUCAUAACAUGGCUCAGAAAUGGUCACUGCAGCCCAAACUCUAGAUGAACCUUCAGCUCAAGCAUCCAAAUUACAGAUAACCCUCUGAUGGCUCUGAGGAAUGUUAACCUCUGGAGUAGCAGCUCUCAACAAAACAUGGUCCUGCUGAUGUUUCAUGCCUCUGUCGAAAAGGUAUCCCUGAACCCCAUUAUUAUGCAGACCCCCGAACUGGGUGAACUGUCUCUCAGCCAGAAUUUGGAGAGAUCAAGGAGGCACUGAUUGAUCUUCCCCAUCAUGGAAAAUUACCACUCUGGAUGGAGAAAACUGAGACUUGGAGAAAUUGAGUAAAGUGCCCAAGGGUUACCCAGCCCUAGUUCUAUGUGAUG